GAUGAAGAACGUAGCGAAAUGCGAUAAGUAAUGAGAAUUGCAGAAUUCAGUGAAUCAUCGAAUCUUUGAACGCACAUUGCGCCCGCCAGUAUUCUGGCGGGCAUGCCUGUUCGAGCGUCAUUACAACCCUCAGGCCCCCGGGCCUGGCGUUGGGGAUCGGCGGAAGCCCCCUGUGGGCACACGCCGUCCCUCAAAUACAGUGGCGGUCCCGCCGCAGCUUCCAUUGCGUAGUAGCUAACACCUCGCAACUGGAGAGCGGCGCGGCCAUGCCGUAAAACACCCAACUUCUGAAUGUUGACCUCGAAUCAGGUAGGAAUACCCGCUGAACUUAAGCAUAUCAAUAAGCGGAGGA
rnacentral:misc_RNA from 1 species